rnacentral:lncRNA from 1 species
AUCGCUAACUAUAAAUAGGUAAGCACUCAGGGUAUUUAGAUCAUCCAAAUCCCUUCUUUCUUACCACUUCUUCCUAUUGUCCAAUUGUCUCCUUCCUUUCCUCAUUAGAACAAGUCCUAAAAUAAUAAGGACAAGUUCGAUCUUAGGACAAGGGCCUAGGAAGAGGAUUAAGGAAGACAAGGAGAAAAGAAAGCAAGGAAAAGAAAAGGCUAGG